GACACGCUGGCGGCGUGCCUAACACAUGCAAGUCGAGCGGAGAUACAUUGAAGAGCAAUCAGAUAUGUAUCUUAGCGGCGGACGGGUGAGUAACGCGUGGGCAACCUGCCUCAUACUGGGGGAUAACACAGGGAAACUUGUGCUAAUACCGCAUAAUAUCAUUAUAGGGCAUCCUGUGAUGAUCAAAGGAGCAAUCCGGUGUGAGAUGGGCCCGCGUCCAAUUAGCUAGUUGGUGAGGUAACGGCCCACCAAGGCGACGAUUGGUAGCCGAACUGAGAGGUUGAUCGGCCACAUUGGGACUGAGACACGGCCCAGACUCCUACGGGAGGCAGCAGUGGGGAAUAUUGCGCAAUGGGGGAAACCCUGACGCAGCAACGCCGCGUGAAGGAUGAAGGUCUUCGGAUUGUAAACUUCUUUGAUGAGGGACGAACACAAUGACGGUACCUCAAAAACAAGCCACGGCUAACUACGUG
rnacentral:rRNA from 1 species